GUGACAUUGAAAAAUUCAAGAACAUGAAACCAUUGAUCCCAUCUUUUAAGCCUAUGAACAGCCACAGUUUCAGGUAUAAGCUCAUGGGAGCACCUUCCAUUUGUUCCCGGAUAAUCAUACAUUGCAGGCUUAUCAGAAAAUCGAUUCUUGGCUUUGUUUCCAAUCUUCAACCAUUUCCCAACCAACUUAUCCUCUGGUCCUUGCGUCUCAUUUGCAGGGAUCCCAGAUUUCCCAAUCCAUUCAACAAGAUCCCAUGACAACAAAAACCCCAUUCCUGACAUGUAAUCCACAUAUGGGUUCUUGCUGCUGCAUGGAAUGACGAAACCAUAGUACAAAUCUAGUCUCGGAAGUGGGUUUAGGGACAGAGACAAUUGGUUGAGCCUAAUGAAGACAUCAUCGUCAGCUUUCAUUACGUAAGUGUAACGUUUUGGAAGGAUUUGUGGGAGUGAAGAGAAGUAGGUGUAGGUCUUACCAUUGUUCAUAUUCUCAGUGCAAUUCAGGAUAAUAAUGUCGUUGAAACGAAGGAUUUCCAAUGCUAUAAAUACCCUUUGCUCAUGCUUUGUGAGGUUGCAGAAUACGAAUUUUACAUCUAUAUCAGCUACGGGUGAUCUUUGGAUUCCAUAGACAAGGCGAAGGAGGUGGCGACGAUCAUAUUUUUCUGGGCGGGUUAGUAUUCCUAUCAAGAUGCUAAAUUUGGUAUGCGCGAAAGGUGUUUGAUUGAAUGCGUAAAUGGAGUCAUUGGAUGGGGAUGGUGGAAAAGAUUUAAGUUGGAGAUUAGAGAAGAAGUAGGAAAAGAAGAGGAGAGAGAUUAGAAGAGGGGGCAGUACUGCAAAUUGAAUGACGUUCUUCUUUUGUUUCAUCAUAUGCACAAUAGAAGAAGAUGGUUUGAAAAUGAUUUGGGUAUAGAAAAAUAAACAGGAGAGUAAGUGUAUAUUGAGGUGCUGUGGAUGGUGAAAUGCAUGAUUUGCUUGAUCAAUGAUCAUGUGUUGUGGGUGAUAUCCCAUGUUUUCAGAAAGCAUAUACGGUUUUACAUGUGAAGAAAGUGCUAUUGAUGUGAUAUUUCUCGUGCUUGUAACU
rnacentral:misc_RNA from 1 species